UUCGCUGUACUCUUGGGAGUUGGACUGGCUAUGAGGAUCUGUUAACUGAACAGAGGCUAGAACUGCAGAUUCAUCAGAAGGAAAAAUGGGAAGUGGUGGACCUCGGUAGAUGAUUGUGAGGAAACUUGCUGGUGCUCGAGGUUGUCUCAUUGCUUUCCUUGCAGGUGAUUCUUUCCUCUUGCCUGGCCUUCUUGCCGCGGUUUGGAAGCAGCGUCGCCAGGGUCCGCCUCGGCCAUGGCGAGGCAACUACGGUCCACGGGUCAUCAGCACGGUGUGUCGAGGUACUCCCUCGCGACGCAGCACACGUUGGGUCGCACCAAGCUCAGGCCACCCGUAGGCCAAGCUCCUUCGACACAGGCAUACAUGAACAAAUGAGAAAGGAGUGAUUCUAGCAUGAGAAGAUGAGGGAUGACAAAUGCCUGCUCGUUGUGAAGCAUAUCAGCAUGUGGAUUAAUAAUAGAAGGGGAAGGAAACUUGCUUCUCUGAGUUUUUAUUAUAGUUUAAAAGGGCAAAUUGUCGACAUUCUAAAUGUUAGGAAAGGAACCUACAGAGUCCUUGUGUAAGUAUGUGAUUCAGAUUAAUGCGCUGAAAGUAUUUAACUUGCUUACUAAUAAUCCACACUCGAAUGUAUUAAUACUCACACAUAGAAGUAGACAUGCCAUGGUUAGCAGCAAAUGUAUAUGUCAAUUUAUGAUCUUUUUCACAUGAUAAUAACACUAUCAGCAUGCUAAUUAUAUGUUGUGGAAUUUAGAGUUAUCACCAUGUGACUGCGUGACUAUUGUCACUUUUUCCCGGUAGGCCAUGGUUAAAAGGCAAUACAAAAUAUUCGCUACUUUUACUGAUAUUUUGGGACCACAUCUAAAAGUAUCCCUAAACAUUAUGUUGUUUUACAGUAAUGAAAAUAACUUCUUAAGGCACUCAGUCACAAGUUAUGAUUAUACCAACCUAUAAUUUUUACUCAUUCUGUGUAAUAUGACCAUGUGAACACCCACUUUAUAUGAAGCCACAAAGACUAUGAAGUUGUGUUCCAUUACAGAUCUAUGUGAUUAGUUUUAGAUAGUUGUAUUAAUGAACAUGGUCGUAUUUUUCAAUUAGCCCUCCUAGCUAAAACCACCAACAAUUAAAUCAAUGUGAUGCUUCUACUGUUUUUUCAGGACUCGCAGUUAAACUAGAGGAAUUAGAUGCUGGUAUUGAUGUAUUACUUGGUGCACGUGCAUCACUUCUUUUACCUCAGUAGUAGAAAAACAGAGGCAAACACAAGCUCUUACUUAUUUUGUACACUUUUCCUAUUUUUAGUACAGUUUUUCCAAGAAGGAAGUAAUUUUUCCUCACACGGGCACAUGAAUUUCCACAAUCAUGUAAUCCAGACUUGCUAAUGGUUUGUAUUUUUCCAUUUUGUGGCAGAUGACUGUAUAAUUUUACCAUGUAAUUUCUUCUUCUCUUUUAUCAAUGGAGGAGGUAGUGAGAAGAUCCAAUUAUUCUGGAACUCCUCCACUUCUGCAAAAGUUUGGUGAUGUUUCCAAGGGGGCCGAUCAAUGGAUCUACUCACCUGAGGUAUAUCUCACAAUCUUAAUGUGAAGUUUAAUGUGUUUUAUAGCUAUCCAAAAUAUGUCGAUGAACUGGUUCUUAUUAUGUUACCCAAAUAGCUUGAGCUCGAGCUAAGACGUAUUUGUUCUUGCUUACUUUUUCUAUUGUUGAUAUUCAGGCCUAACCUCACCAAACUUUGCUACAUCUUACAUUGCGAGAAAUAGCAAAAUAAGUAUUGUAUUAAACAUUGGUAAGUCAGUCUACAGUUGUGUAACAUCCCAUCAUUCAGUUUGUCAGAUACUAAAUUUAUGUUACCCAAAAGUAUUUUUCUGAUUCCCCAUAAGCCUCAACUCAUCACGGAAGCAUGUUCAGAGUUCAUUUGCGAUUCACUUCACCACUUCCUUUUGCAACUCUAUCCAGCGGUGGCGUGUUGGUGGUUGGCCCCUUUCUUUUCUCUCCUUCUUUCACCGCUGUACCCAUCUUGCCGAUCUGAUGUGUACAUAUCAAUUUGAUGCAUCAUUGUCGUCCUCUUUGCAUGGCGGUGUGGUGUCUCUCAACACGUGAUGGAUUCACUCACACGGAGGAAGCUUUUCUUCGCUACUUCGGCGACAAAUACACAAGCUUUUGGGUCCAUGGUGCCACCAGUAAACUAGGUUGUCCCGUUCUAUUGAUUGAUCAGUUCAUCAUGCUUUUAAAAUUCUUGCACUAUGAUUUGCUGAUUGAUCGUAUCACUAUAUACACAUUUGGAGGAUCUGCUACUGCUAGAUCUCUCUCUUAUAUAUUUCACUACUUCCACUUGCCAUUGUUAUAUAGUUUAUACUGCUUUUUUGACUUGCUAAGGCUGAUACAUGUUCACCCGGUAUAAUAUAUGUAUUAAGAUGUUGACCAAAGAAAAUUUACACCUCUUCUGAUUUAUUAUAUAUAUGGCUUACUGAUGCUCUUAUGGUACUGAACAACACAUUCUCAUUUAGAGCACUGUUGAAAUCUUAGGUGCUAGCAAUCUAAUCGUAGGUUAACAUUUUAGACGAUGUGCUGUCGGGUCCAAAAACAAGAAGAGUAGUCCUCUACCAAGGUUAAAUCAUCUUCCAAAUUUUCUUUGGAAAGGAUCAAUCCUUUAGUUUUCUGAAUUUGAUGGUGUGUUUUUUUCUUUGGCAGACAGAGCAGGCAGGAGGAGAAAGUAGAGAGGGAGAUGGGGAAGGGAGAGGAGAUCUCGGCCUGCACGUUGUGUCUCCCACAAGCCACUGCAAAGGGAGAAUCGUAUACCCAACAUCCUUUUCAAAGUCUAUAGCUACUGCCUCCCCAAGCAAUGCCAACCUGCGGCAAAAAGGUCGACGGUGGAGCCGUGUUCUGAAGUUGGAGCGUGCCCUUUUGUUGGUGCCAUCGUUCUCUCCUCCACGACUAUCGUCACCACGAGCCCAAGUAUCUUCGCUGGGUAUCGAUGGAGUUGGUGGACCUAAUAGGUCUGUCGUAC